UGCAAGUCGAGCGGCAUCAUACAGGUUGGCAAGCGGCGCACGGGUGAGUAAUACAUGUAAAUAUACCUAAAGGUGGGGAAUAACGUACGGAAACGUACGCUAAUACCGCAUAAUUAUUACGAGAUAACGCAGGGGCUUGAUAAAAAAAAUCAACCUUGCGCUUUUAGAAAAUUACAUGCCGGAUUAGCUAGUUGGUAGAGUAAAAGCCUACCAAGGUAACGAUCCGUAGCUGGUCUGAGAGGAUGAUCAGCCACACUGGGACUGAGAAAAGGCCCAGACUCCUACGGGAGGCAGCAGUGGGGAACAUUGGACAAUGGGGGGAACCCUGAUCCAGUCAUGCCGCGUGUGUGAAGAAGGCCUUUGGGUUGUAAAGCACUUUCAGCGAAGAAGAAAAGUUAGAAAAUAAAAAGUUAUAACUAUGACGGUACUCGCAGAAGAAGCACCGGCUAACUCCGUGCCAGCAGCCGCGGUAAGACGGAGGGUGCAAGCGUUAAUCAGAAUUACUGGGCGUAAAGGGCAUGUAGGUGGUUUGUUAAGCUUUAUGUGAAAGCCCUAUGCUUAACAUAGGAACGGAAUAAAGAACUGACAAACUAGAGUGCAGAAGAGGAAGGUAGAAUUCCCGGUGUAGCGGUGAAAUGCGUAGAUAUCUGGAGGAAUACCAGUUGCGAAGGCGACCUUCUGGGCUGACACUGACACUGAGAUGCGAAAGCGUGGGGAGCAAACAGGAUUAGAUACCCUGGUAGUCCACGCUGUAAACGAUAUCAACUAGCCGUUGGAUUCUUAAAGAAUUUUGUGGCGUAGCUAACGCGAUAAGUUGAUCGCCUGGGGAGUACGGUCGCAAGGCUAAAACUCAAAUGAAUUGACGGGGGCCCGCACAAGCGGUGGAGCAUGUGGUUUAAUUCGAUGCAACGCGCAAAACCUUACCUACUCUUGACAUCCAAAGUACUUUCCAGAGAUGGAAGGGUGCCUUAGGGAACUUUGAGACAGGUGCUGCAUGGCUGUCGUCAGCUCGUGUUGUGAAAUGUUGGGUUAAGUCCCGUAACGAGCGCAACCCUUGUCCUUAGUUGCCAACGCAUAAGGCGGGAACUUU
rnacentral:rRNA from 1 species